UGUUAAAAGGGUUUUAAAUAAGUCUCUUUUUCAAUGGUGUAAGUAUGAGAUUUGUGAAGCCCUUUCCAGAUGCAUGUGUGUUUGCUUAUGUUUAAAAAAUCACUUGAGUGCAAACAUUUAAACACAUUUUAUAAAACUGGCGGGCCAGGCACGGUGGCUCAUGCCUGUAAUCCCAGCACUUUGGGAGGCCGAGGCGGGUGGAUCACGAGGUCAGGAGUUUGAGACCAGCCUGACCAACAUGGUGAAACCCCGUCUCUACUGGGGGAAAAAAAAAAUUAGCCAGGCGUGGUGGUGGGUGCCUGUAGUCCCAGCUACUCAGGAGGCUGAGGCAGGAGAAUCACUUGAACCCAGGAGGCGGAGGUUGCAAUGAGCCGAGAUCAUGCCAUUGUGCUCCGGCCUGGGUGACAAAGCGAGACUCUUUCUCAAAAAAACAAAAACAAAAACAAACAGACAAACAAACAAAACUGGCAUGGCAUUGGACAGUGACACAUAAGAAGCUGAUGUCAUCUUUGCCACUUAGAGAAGGCAAAAUAUCUUGUUAGAUAACCCCUCUUAAAUGCUCUGCUUGGCUAGUACUUUUUGGGCUUGGUCAGUGAUUAGAGUUUAAGUUGUAAAUGGUAUUCAUAAUUUCUUGUCUCUGUCUCAUCCCAAACAGAUUAGAAAAUCUUUGAUUUUUGUUGGUAAGGAGCUAGCAUCUUAUUAAUACAAAGCCUUGUGCAUAAAUUAUUUCCAGUAAUUAUUUAGUGCCUAAUGUGGCAUGCUUUGUGCUGAGUGCUGAGGAUAAAAGAGGAAUAAGGUAAGAUCUUUAUAGUUUAGCAGAGGAGGAUGUGAGUGGGCAGAAAAAUGUUAUGAGUUCUAUAAUAGGAAUAUGUAUAGGGGAACUUGGUUACAGCUCAGCUUAAUUGAGAAAGGGUGUGAAAUGAAAAGACCAAACAUUCUUUGCAGAACAGCUAAACAGUUGGAAUUAUAUACUCAGAUGAGUUAAUGAUUAUAAAUAGCCAUCAUUUAUUAUCUCUCCAGAACUCCAGAACCAAGGUUAUAAAAAAUGAAUAGUUCUUUAUUUAGUUCAGAAGCAUUUGUGAAGUAUCUAUAGCAUCUGUAACAUGGCAGGCCCUAAGGACGCUGGCAUGAAUAGUGGGCCGUCAUCUACUGGGAGAGUCAGUAUAGCGUGUACGUGCGUUAGAGGUGAAAUGCAUAAAGGGGCAUCCAACAUGGCUGGUGGCUGGCCAUGUGAACAAGACAUUUGCAUUUGCCACAGCAUAAAGAAGGAUAUUUCUGAGUCAUGGAGUAUUUUAUUAUGUUUAUUUGGCCCCAAUAUUUCCAAAUAAAAAGAGGCCUUUGCUUUUGUGCUACAGGCGUUUCUUAUCUUUAGGAAGAAUGGGCCGGGCGCGGUGGCUCACACCUGUAAUCCCAGCACUUUGGGAGGUCAAGGCAGGCGGAUCACAAGGUCAGGAGUUCGAGACAAGCCUGACCAAUAUGGUGAAACCCCAUCUCUACUAAAAAUACAAAAAUUAGCUGGGCUUGGUGGCACACGCGUGUAGUCCCAGCUACUCAGGAGGCGAGGCAGGAGAAUUGCUUGAACCUGGUAGGUGGAGGUUACAGUGAGCCAAGAUCGUGCCAUUGCACUCCAGCCUGGGUGACAGAGUGAGACUCCAUCU
rnacentral:lncRNA from 1 species